rnacentral:misc_RNA from 1 species
UGAAACUCUCAACCCCCUCUUCUUUGUAAUGGAGUAGAGCGCGGGCUUGGAUCCUGGCUACUGCCGGCGCAAGUCGGCUUAGCUGAAAUGUACGAGCAUCCUUCUUUGAAAUAGACGGCUUGACUCGGCGUAAUAGUUAUUUCGCUGAGGACGUCUGCUUUCAAGACCAUAAGUGGUGCUUCUAAUGCUAUCAUCUUAGAC